UACGGAGGGGGUUAGCGUUGUUCGGAAUGACUGGGCGUAAAGCGCGCGUAGGCGGAUCAGGAAGUUGGGGGUGAAAUCCCGGGGCUCAACCCCGGAAUGGCCUUCAAAACUCCUGGUCUUUGAGUUCGAGAGAGGUGAGUGGAAUUCCGAGUGUAGAGGUGAAAUUCGUAGAUAUUCGGAGGAACACCAGUGGCGAAGGCGGCUCACUGGGCUCGACACUGACGCUGAGGUGCGAAAGCGUGGGGAGC
rnacentral:rRNA from 1 species